GAUGAAGAACGUAGCGAAAUGCGAUACGUAAUGUGAAUUGCAGAAUUCAGUGAAUCAUCGAGUCUUUGAACGCACAUUGCGCCCCCUGGUAUUCCGGGGGGCAUGCCUGUCCGAGCGUCAUUGCUGCCCUCAAGCACGGCUUGUGUGUUGGGCCUCCGUCCUCCUCCCGGGGGACGGGCCCGAAAGGCAGCGGCGGCACCGCGUCCGGUCCUCGAGCGUAUGGGACUUCGUCACCCGCUCUUGUAGGCCCGGCCGGCGCUUGCCGACACAUCAAUCUUUUUUCCAGGUUGACCUCGGAUCAGGUAGGGAUACCCGCUGAACUUAAGCAUAUCAAUAAGCGGAGGA
rnacentral:misc_RNA from 1 species